rnacentral:rRNA from 2 species
GUUUCSGUAGGUGAACCUGCGGAAGGAUCAUUG